GCGGCCCACGCGAAUCCAAAUGAAAAUAAUCUAGACGACGGUGGCUGCCAAAGAAAUAAAAUAGAGUAGAUUUUUCAGUUGGACAGACACGAUGUGAACAAUAGGUCUCGGUUACAAGGGAAGGACAGCAGUGACGCGUAGCACGGCUGCGGUGCUCGCGUCAUUUGGAUAGGGUACAGAAUAUAAACAGAUAAACUUAUGGUUUCCGGUCAAAUACACUAGCCACCACUUAGAUAUUGAUGACCAAAGCUGUGGCCAAAGCGUAUGCCGGGGAUUCACCGCAAUAAAUAUUUUCAUUUGGCGUCUCUAAACAUUUCAAGAGGAUUUGUAGUUUAGAUAUGCAGGGUCCACACUAUCUAUUGGUGAAAACUGUAUGAAGAAAACCUGUGCAGUAUUUUUUGAGUUUAUCGUGAAUAGAGAGACAGACGCGAUAAGGGGACUUCUUUUUAUAAUAUGCACAAGGAUAUUUCAGCGUCCACGUGUUAGAAACGUCACGCAAACCUAUUAGAAAAAGUACCGAAAUAUCAGCAUACAUCCAGACGAGCAAGAAG